CAGCAGCCGCGGUAAUACGAACCGUGCGAACGUUAUUCGGAAUUACUGGGCUUAAAGCGCGUGUAGGCGGGCCGCCACGUCGGUUGCUGAAAUCCCCCGGCUCAACCGGGGAAGUGGCAUCGAUACGAGCGGCCUUGAGGGGGGUAGGGGGAUCUGGAACUUCCGGUGGAGCGGUGAAAUGCGUUGAGAUCGGAAGGAACGCCCGUGGCGAAAGCGAGGUCCUGGACCCUUUCUGACGCUGAGACGCGAAAGCCAGGGGAGCGAACGGGAUUAGAUACCCCUGUAGUCCCUGUCUCUUAUU
rnacentral:rRNA from 1 species